rnacentral:rRNA from 1 species
CACGCGGAAGCGGUAAGACCCCUGGAAGACUACCAGGUAGAUAGGCCAGAGGUGUAAGCGUCGUAAGGCGUUUAGCUGACUGGUACUAAUAGGUCGAGGGCUUGAUCUU